UCAUGGCUCAGGACGAACGCUGGCGGCGUGCCUAAUACAUGCAAGUCGAACGCGUCUCCGUUAAUGAUUUUAGGUGCUUGCACUUGAAAGAUUUAACAUUGAGACGAGUGGCGAACUGGUGAGUAACACGUGGGUAACCUGCCCUUGAAGUAGGGGAUAACACUUGGAAACAGGUGCUAAUACCGUAUAACAACCAAAACCACCUGGUUUUGGUUUAAAAGACGGCUUCGGCUGUCACUUUAGGAUGGACCCGCGGCGUAUUAGCUUGUUGGUAAGGUAACGGCCUACCAAGGCGAUGAUACGUAGCCGACCUGAGAGGGUAAUCGGCCACAUUGGGACUGAGACACGGCCCAAACUCCUACGGGAGGCAGCAGUAGGGAAUCUUCCACAAUGGACGAAAGUCUGAUGGAGCAACGCCGCGUGAGUGAUGAAGGGUUUCGGCUCGUAAAACUCUGUUGUUGGAGAAGAACAGGUGUCAGAGUAACUGUUGACAUCUUGACGGUAUCCAACCAGAAAGCCACGGCUAACUACGUGCCAGCAGCCGCGGUAAUACGUAGGUGGCAAGCGUUGUCCGGAUUUAUUGGGCGUAAAGCGAGCGCAGGCGGUUUUUUAGGUCUGAUGUGAAAGCCUUCGGCUUAACCGGAGAAGUGCAUCGGAAACCGGGAGACUUGAGUGCAGAAGAGGACAGUGGAACUCCAUGUGUAGCGGUGAAAUGCGUAGAUAUAUGGAAGAACACCAGUGGCGAAGGCGGCUGUCUGGUCUGUAACUGACGCUGAGGCUCGAAAGCAUGGGUAGCGAACAGGAUUAGAUACCCU
rnacentral:rRNA from 1 species